GCUGCGCCUCCUUCAUCCCUUAUUUUCAGCUUCUUCUUUUCAUGAUCUUUUCCCAAAAUAAGUUCAGUCUUCCCCAUGAAUACACUCAAAGCAAAAGUGCAGCCACUCCAUUCCCUUUUGAUCCCUGCCAAAACCACAUUUUGUGCCAAAACAAUAGAAAAUCCAAACUCCAUUUUAUCCACUGGACAUGAGAUCUCAGAAACACUCUCUAUAAAUUGAGAGCAGAAUUAAGAACAAAGGAAGGCAAGAACGGAGAAGAGAAAAACCAAAAAAAACUCAUCUUUUCAUCACUUUUCCAAAAAUUCGAAAUCCAUUAAAACCACCUCCAACCUUCAAUUUUCUUCACCCAAAUCACUCCAAACACCUCCCUAAGCUUGAACCCACAAGAAAAACGAAGAAAAACCAUCAACAAAAGCUUACACAAGGUUCAAAAUAGCAAAGAAAAGAGUAGGUGUUAACCCACCUAAGC
rnacentral:lncRNA from 1 species